UACGUAGGGUGCAAGCGUUUGUCCGGAAUUAUUGGGCGUAAAGAGCUCGUAGGCGGUCUGUCGCGUCUGCUGUGAAAACUCAGGGCUUAACCCUGAGCUUGCAGUGGGUACGGGCAGACUAGAGUGCGGUAGGGGAGACUGGAAUUCCUGGUGUAGCGGUGAAAUGCGCAGAUAUCAGGAGGAACACCGGUGGGCGAAGGCGGGUCUCUGGGCCGUAACUGACGC
rnacentral:rRNA from 1 species